AGCAAAAUUACUCCUGUAUGUAUGUAUGUAUGUAUGUGUGUGUGUGUGUGUGUGUGUGUGUGUGUGUGUGUGUGUGUGUGUGUGUGUGUGUGUGUGUGUGUGUGUGCUCAAAAUGUGUUCCUUCAUAUUAUGCAGCCUUAUGUAGUAUUGGUACAGAGAGCAGUUAUAAGAGGAACCAUGAAACCAAGGGUGUGGCUAGUGAUCCACUGGGUACAGAAGCUCCACUAACAGCUGCCUUAUGAUCCGAUCCACGCAUUAACCUUAACCCUGAUUAACCCUAUAUUGUUUGUUGUUUUAACCUAGCGUUAGUGUAGCAUGUCAUUUUUGGCCACCAGUAGUUACUGUAGGUAGUUAGUUAGAAUACAGUUCUUUUCACUACAUUAGUAGUUAGAUUGCAGGUCUUUACAUUGCACUAGUAGUUAGAAUGCAGGUCUUUUCACUACCUUGGUAGUUAGAAUGCAGGUCUUUUCACUACCUUGGUAGUUAGAAUGCAGGUCUUUACACUACAUUAGUAGUUACAAUGCAAGUCUUUUCACUACCUUGGUAGUUAGAAUGCAGGUAUUUUCACUACAUUUAGUAGUAACAAUGCAAGUCUUUUCACUACCUUGGUAGUUAGAAUGCAGGUAUUUUCACUACAUUUAGUAGUUACAAUGCAGGUAUUUUCACUACAUUUAGUAGUAACAAUGCAAGUCUUUUCACUACAUUUAGUAGUAACAAUGCAAGUCUUUUCACUACAGUAGUAGUUAGAGUAGAGGUCAUUUCACUACGUUAGUAGUUAGAAUGCAGGUAUUUUCAUUACGUUAGUAGUUAGAAUGCAGGUCUUUUCACUUCAUUAGCAGUUAGAAUACUGUCACGUUCUGACCUUGGUUCUUUUGUUAUGUCUUUGUUUUAGUAUGGUCAGGGCAUGAGUUGGGUGGGUUGUCAAUGUUCCUUUUUCUAUGAUUUUGGAUUUCUGUGUUUGGCCUGGUAUGGUUCUCAAUCAGAGGCAGCUGUCAAUCGUUGUUCCUGAUUGAGAACCAUACAUAGGUAGCCUGGUUUCACUUUUGAGUUGUGGGUGAUUAUUUUCCGUGUCAGUGUUUGUUCCCACACGGGACUGUUUCGUUCGGUUUUGUUUUUCACGUUGCCGUUUAUUGUUUUGUUCAGUGUUCAUUAUUCUUUUUAAAAACCAAGAUGAACACUUACCACGCUGUGUAUUGGUCCUAUCCUUGCUACUCCUCCUCAGAAGAGGAAGAGGAAAGCCGUUACAAAUACAGGUCUUUUCACUCCCUUAGUAGUUACAAUGCAGGUCUUUUCGCUACAUUGAUAGUUAGAAUGCAGAUCUUUUCACUAAUUUAGUAGAUACAGUUGAGGACAUGUGAUUCAUUUUUUU
ensembl:lncRNA